UGGGGAAUUUUGGACAAUGGGCGAAAGCCUGAUCCAGCAAUGCCACGUGUGUGAAGAAGGCCUUCGGGUUGUAAAGCACUUUUGUCCGGAAAGAAAUCCUUGGCUCUAAUACAGUCGGGGGAUGACGGUACCGGAAGAAUAAGCACCGGCUAACUACGUGCCAGCAGCCGCGGUAAUACGUAGGGUGCAGGCGUUAAUCGGAAUUACUGGGCGUAAAGCGUGCGCAGGCGGUUUGCUAAGACCGAUGUGAAAUCCCCGGGCUCAACCUGGGAACUGCAUUGGUGACUGGCAGGCUAGAGUAUGGCAGAGGGGGGUAGAAUUCCACGUGUAGCAGUGAAAUGCGUAGAGAUGUGGAGGAAUACCGAUGGCGAAGGCAGCCCCCUGGGCCAAUACUGACGCUCAUGCACGAAAGCGUGGGGAGCAAACAGGAUUAGAUACCCUGGUAGUCCACGCCCUAAACGAUGUCAACUAGUUGUUGGGGAUUCAUUUCCUUAGUAACGUAGCUAACGCGUGAAGUUGACCGCCUGGGGAGUACGGUCGCAAGAUUAAAACUCAAAGGAAUUGACGGGGUCAUAGCUGUUUCCU
rnacentral:rRNA from 1 species